rnacentral:rRNA from 1 species
UUGACCUCGAAUCAGGAGA